AGGAAGAAGCCCCGGCUAACUACGUGCCAGCAGCCGCGGUAAUACGUAGGGGGCGAGCGUUGUCCGGAUUUAUUGGGCGUAAAGCGUCCGCAGGCGGUGCGGCAAGUUCGAGGUGACAGUGCGCGGCUUAACUGCGCAAGGUCCUUGAAAACUGCCACACUUGAGGGCUUCAGAGGGAUCCGGAAUUCCGGGUGGAGUGGUGAAAUGCGUAGAGAUCCGGAGGAACACCAAAGGCGCAGGCAGGGUCCUGGGAAGCUACUGACGCUCAUGGACGAAAGCUAGGGGAGCGAACGGGAUUAGAUACCCCGGUAGUCCUAGCCGUAAACGAUGACCACUAGACGUGGGAGGUAUCGACCCCUUCCGUGUCGUCGCUAACGCACUAAGUGGUCCGCCUGGGGAGUACGGUCGCAAGAUUAAAACUCAAAGGAAUUGACG
rnacentral:rRNA from 1 species